AACGCUGGCGGCAUGCCUUACACAUGCAAGUCGAACGGCAGCACGGGCUUCGGCCUGGUGGCGAGUGGCGAACGGGUGAGUAAUACAUCGGAACGUGCCCUGUAGUGGGGGAUAACUAGUCGAAAGAUUAGCUAAUACCGCAUACGACCUGAGGGUGAAAGCGGGGGACCGCAAGGCCUCGCGCUACAGGAGCGGCCGAUGUCUGAUUAGCUAGUUGGUGGGGUAAAAGCCUACCAAGGCGACGAUCAGUAGCUGGUCUGAGAGGACGAUCAGCCACACUGGGACUGAGACACGGCCCAGACUCCUACGGGAGGCAGCAGUGGGGAAUUUUGGACAAUGGGGGCAACCCUGAUCCAGCAAUGCCGCGUGUGUGAAGAAGGCCUUCGGGUUGUAAAGCACUUUUGUCCGGAAAGAAAUGGCUCUGGUUAAUACCCGGGGUCGAUGACGGUACCGGAAGAAUAAGCACCGGCUAACUACGUGCCAGCAGCCGCGGUAAUACGUAGGGUGCGAGCGUUAAUCGGAAUUACUGGGCGUAAAGCGUGCGCAGGCGGUUUUGUAAGACAGGCGUGAAAUCCCCGAGCUCAACUUGGGAAUGG
rnacentral:rRNA from 1 species